rnacentral:rRNA from 1 species
UGACGCUCAGGUACGAAAGCGUGGGUAGCGAACGGGAUUAGAUACCCCGGUAGUCCACGCCGUAAACGAUGCACACUAGGUCGCGGAGCCUCUCAUGGUCUCGCGGCCGAAGGUAAACUGAUUAGUGUGCCGCCUGGGGAGUACGGUCGCAAGGCUAAAACUCAAAGGAAUUGACGGGGGCUCACACAAGCGGUGGAGCAUGUUGCUUAAUUCGAGGCAACGCGAAGAACCUUACCUAGACUUGACAUGUAUGGAUUAGUUCCUGGAAACAGGAAUGACGCCCUUGGGUGGAACAUACACAGGUGCUGCAUGGCUGUCGUCAGCUCGUGCUGUGAAGUGUCGGGUUAAGUCCCUUAACGAGCGCAACCCCUAUCGUUAGUUACUAACGCGUCAUGGCGAGGACUCUAGCGAGACUGCCGGUGUCAAACCGGAGGAAGGUGGGGAUGACGUCAAGUCCUCAUGGCCCUUAUGUCUAGGGAUGCAAACGUGCUACAAUGGCAUGGACAAAGCGAUGCAAUACCGCGAGGUGGAGCAAAUCGCAAAAACCAUGCCCCAGUUCGGAUAGCAGGCUGAAAUUCGCCUGCUUGAAGCCGGAAUCGCUAGUAAUCGCGUAUCAGCUACGACGCGGUGAAUACGUUCCUGAGCCU